rnacentral:lncRNA from 1 species
ACUUGAAAGAGGACCUGGCAGCUGUGUUUAGUCACGGCCCUGGGUUAAAUGACCUCUCAGGCAAAGUCUCAAUGCAGUAAAGACAAAGUGGGGGUGCUUGGGUGGAAUGGGGGUGGGGGUCUAAACCCUCGCCCUUCCUCCCCCCACCCGCCCUUAGGGGAGGGGCUCUCCAAGCGCUGCUCCACGUGGAACAUUCUGAGAAUCCCCCAGGGCCUGGGGCCGCUGGGGUGUGGGAGGGCGGGGAGAGAGCGUGCGCCCUGCACAGUGAGGUCGUGGCGCCCGGCACCUGCCACCUGUGACUGGGAUGAAGGGCUCGAUCAGAACCUGUCUGCCGGUUUCCCCGUGCGACGAUUAACCACCACCCCCUCCAUAACCCGUGUGUUUUCCAGGUCAGCCUGGACUUACAAAUCCAAGCCAGAUGGGGUCUCCUCAGAGGGGCAGUGACCUGGGGGAUGCCAACAGUGACAGCUACCACCAGCAGAUGGAGAAACUGAGUCCCAGAGGGGUUAAAUGACCUCAGCAAGGCCAUCUAGCUAAUGAGAGGUGAAUCUAGGAUUCCAGAGCUCUUGCUCUUAAAUGCUACGCUGAAUGAGAGGAUGCGCUGGAAGAUUUUUGACCAAUUGUGUGAACAGUAAGAAGCACAACUGUGGCCUUUGUGGCUUCCUUUUUAGAGAUGGAAUUUCGCUGUGUUGCCCAGGCUGGCAGCAUAUUGGCCCUCCCCACCUCAGCCUCCUGAGUAGCUGGGACUGGGUGCAUGCCAUUACACCCAUCUAGCACAGCUGUGUUUUGUGCUCUUGGCUGAGAGGUUCUUAGGACCCACUAGCCCUAUUGUCUCUUCGUUCCUCUCCCCAAUCCGCCUUCGUCAUGUGAGCCUUUGCAGCAGCCACCUGAUCUCAGAGUUCUCUUCUUCCCUCUCUUCAGACAUUUUGCAGACAUCCUCCUCCCCUCCUCUAACACAGAGACAACCUGUCUGGUAAAGCCUCUCAAACCCAGCCAGAAUCAUCUGGAAGAGUUUAGCGGGCUGGCAGCAAGGCCAGUCUGAAAUGGACUUAGCUAGAUUCCGCCCGAGGCCCUCCCAUUAGCUGCGCAAUGCAGCCUCUGCCCAAAGUGCAAAGCAGAAUGCUGCUGGAGCUGCUCAUGAAACCACCUUACUGUGGCCACCAGAUUGUCCCCAUUUGCUUUGGAAAGCAAUGCCAUUGUGAAAUAUGGCAUCUCCUGUAGUUCUGCAUCGGAAGCAGAGAGGGCAUACACGGACUCCCUCCCCAUUCCAGCAGGCAUGUUCUCAACACCCCUGCACCUGGGCCUCUGGCCAGGGGCCUCCAUAGCCGCCUUCAGGAGUGAGUGCACUGCGGUCUGAGCACCUGGAUGUAGCCCUCCACCCUUACCCUGUGCCUCCCUAAAGCCUCGUGUGUCAAAUGAAGUCAUCAUUAUCCCUACCUCGUGAGAUGUCACAAGAAUAAAUAAUUUAAUAUAUGCAAGGUGCUUGGCACCGAGUGUUAUAAAACUUGAUGAUGAUGAUAGUUUGCUAUCAUCAUCAUCAUCAUCACCAUCAUCACUACCACCAUUCAGUACAUAGUUUCCCACCUUUGCACUUUUAAAAAAGGAAAACCCAUUGCCAUAUGUAAUAUGAUUUCUUUACCACUUUGUUGAAACCAACUUUAAAUAAACUCACUUUUAAAACGUAGCCUCGGCUGGGUGCGAUGGCUCAUACCUGUAAUCCCAACACUUUGGGAGGCCGAGGCAGGUGGAUCAUUUGAGACCAGGAGUUCAAGACCAGCCUGAUCAACAUG